CGAGGCGAACCGGGGAAACUGAAACAUCUCAGUACCCCAAGAAAAAGAAAUCAACCGAGAUUCCCCCAGUAGCGGCGAGCGAACGGGGAGCAGCCCAGAGUCAACAUCAAUAUUUACCACAGGAGAAGGGUCUGGAAAAGCCGGCAAUAAAGGGUGAUAGCCCCGUAUCUAAAGCGGUAAGUGUUGUGAACUCGAAGAGUAGGGCGGGACACGUGUUAUCCUGUCUGAAUAUGGGGGGACCAUCCUCCAAGGCUAAAUACUCCUGACUGACCGAUAGUGAACCAGUACCGUGAGGGAAAGGCGAAAAGAACCCCGGCGAGGGGAGUGAAAUAGAACCUAAAACCGUGUACGUACAAGCAGUAGGAGCACCCGAAAGGGUGUGACUGCGUACCUUUUGUAUAAUGAGUCAGCGACUUAUAUUCUGUAGCGAGGUUAACCGCAUAGGGGAGCCGUAGGGAAACCGAGUCUUAACUGGGCGUUAAGUUGCAGGGUAUAGACCCGAAACCCGGUGAUCUAGCCAUAAGCAGGUUGAAG
rnacentral:rRNA from 1 species